GAUGAACGCUGGCGGCGUGCCUAAUACAUGCAAGUCGAGCGAACAGACGAGGAGCUUGCUCCUCUGACGUUAGCGGCGGACGGGUGAGUAACACGUGGAUAACCUACCUAUAAGACUGGGAUAACUUCGGGAAACCGGAGCUAAUACCGGAUAAUAUAUUGAACCGCAUGGUUCAAUAGUGAAAGACGGUUUUGCUGUCACUUAUAGAUGGAUCCGCGCCGCAUUAGCUAGUUGGUAAGGUAACGGCUUACCAAGGCAACGAUGCGUAGCCGACCUGAGAGGGUGGUCGGCCAACCCGGAAACGAGACACGGUCCAGGCUCCUACGGGAGGCAAGAAUAGGGAAUCUUCCGCAAAGGGCGAAAGCGUGGAGGAGCAACGGCGCGUGGGUGAUGGAGGUCUUCGGAUCGUAAAACUCUGUUAAUAGGGAAGGACAAAUUUGGAAGGAACUAAGCACGGCUUGACGGUAACUAAACAAAAAGCCAAGGCUUACUACGUG
rnacentral:rRNA from 1 species